rnacentral:rRNA from 1 species
CCUACGGGCGGCUGCAGUGGGGAAUAUUGCACAAUGGGCGCAAGCCUGAUGCAGCCAUGCCGCGUGUGUGAAGAAGGCCUUCGGGUUGUAAAGCACUUUCAGCGGGGAGGAAGGCGUUAAGGUUAAUAACCUUGUCGAUUGACGUUACCCGCAGAAGAAGCACCGGCUAACUCCGUGCCAGCGGCCGCGGUAAUACGGAGGGUGCAAGCGUUAAUCGGAAUUACUGGGCGUAAAGCGCACGCAGGCGGUCUGUCAAGUCGGAUGUGAAAUCCCCGGGCUCAACCUGGAAACUGCAUUCGAAACUGGCAGGCUAGAGUCUUGUAGAGGGGGGUAGAAUUCCAGGUGUAGCGGUGAAAUGCGUAGAGAUCUGGAGGAAUACCGGUGGCGAAGGCGGCCCCCUGGACAAAGACUGACGCUCAGGUGCGAAAGCGUGGGGAGCAAACAGGAUUAGAUACCCUUGUAGUC